rnacentral:rRNA from 1 species
UACCAGCACCCCGAGUGGUCGGGACGAUUAUUGGGCCUAAAGCAUCCGUAGCCGGUUCUACAAGUCUUCCGUUAAAUCCACCUGCUUAACAGAUGGGCUGCGGAGGAUACUAUAGAGCUAGGAGGCGGGAGAGGCAAGCGGUACUUAGUGGGUAGGGGUAAAAUCCGUUGAUCCAUUGAAGACCACCAGUGGCGAAGACGGCUUGCCAGAACGCACUCGACGGUGAGGGAUGAAAGCUGGGGGAGCAAACCGG